rnacentral:rRNA from 1 species
AUUGAACGCUGGCGGAAUGCUUUACACAUGCAAGUCGAACGGUAGAGGGGGCAACCCCUUGAGAGUGGCGAACGGGUGAGUAAUAUAUCGGAACGUGCCCAGUCGUGGGGAUAACGUAGCGAAAGUUACGCUAAUACCGCAUACGAUCUAAGGAUGAAAGCGGGGGACUCGCAAGAGCCUCGCGCGAUUGGAGCGGCCGAUAUCAGAUUAGGUAGUUGGUGGGGUAAAGGCUCACCAAGCCAACGAUCUGUAGCUGGUCUGAGAGGACGACCAGCCACACUGGAACUGAGACACGGUCCAGACUCCUACGGGAGGCAGCAGUGGGGAAUUUUGGACAAUGGACGCAAGUCUGAUCCAGCCAUUCCGCGUGCAGGAUGAAGGCCCUCGGGUUGUAAACUGCUUUGUACGGAACGAAAAGGUUUCUAUUAAUACUAGGAGCUCAUGACGGUACCGUAAGAAUAAGCACCGGCUAACUAACGUGCCAGCAGCCGCGGUAAAGUGACU